AAUUUUGGACAAUGGGGGAAACCCUGACCCAGCAAUCCCGCGUGUAUGAUGAAGGCCUUCGGGUUGUAAAGCACUUUUGGCAGAGAAGAAAAGGUAUCUCCUAAUACGAGAUACUGUUGACGGUAUCUGCAGAAUAAGCACCUCCUAACUAUGAGCCAGCAGCCGCGGUAAUACGUAGGGUGCAAGCGUUAAUCGGAAUUACUGGGCGUAAAGCAUGUGUAGGCGGUUCGGAAAGAAAGAUGUGAAAUCCCAGGGCUCAACCGUGGAACUGCAUUUUUAACUGCCGAGCUAGAGUAUGUCAGAGGGGGGUAGAAUUCCACGUGUAGCAGUGAAAUGCGUAGAUAUGUGGAGGAAUACCGAUGGCGAAGGCAGCCCCCUGGGAUAAUACUGACGCUCAGACACGAAAGCGUGGGGAGCAAACA
rnacentral:rRNA from 1 species